ensembl:snRNA U6 U6 spliceosomal RNA
GUGCUCACUUUGGCAGCACGCAUACUAAAAUUGGAAUGAUACAGAGAUUAGCAUGGCCCCUGAGCAAGGAUGACACACAAAUUUGUAAAGUGUUCCAUAUUUAA